AUUGAACGCUGGCGGCAGGCCUAACACAUGCAAGUCGAGCGGAGCGGCGGACGGGUGAGUAAUGCCUAGGAAUCUGCCUGGUAGUGGGGGCUACCUUCCGGAAACGGGCGCUAAUACCGCAUACUAUCAGAUGAGCCUCGGUCGGAUUAGCUAGUUGGUAGGGUAAAGGCCUACCAAGGCGACGAUCCGUAACUGGUCUGAGAGGAUGAUCAGUCAGACUGGAACAGAGACACGGGCCAGACGCCUACGGGAGGCAGCAGUGGGGAAUGUUGGACAAUGGGCGAAAGCCGGAUUCAGCCAUGCCGCGUGUGUGAAGAAGGUCUUCGGAUUGUAAAGCACUUUAAGUUGGGAGGCGUUACCAACAGAAUAAGCACCGGCUAACUUCGUGCCAGCAGCCGCGGUAAUAC
rnacentral:rRNA from 1 species